UCUCAAAGACAUUCACCCUUGGAGGGGGAGUCCCACUACCUGCUGUCCCUCCACUUGCCUCCUGUGCCUUAUGCUCCCUCCUCAGUGUCCCCUGGGAUCUGCAUCUGAGGGUAGUGAGCAAUUUACAGCUCAGUCUCCCUGCUAGGAUGAAGCGGAUCCCUUGAUCCCGAGAGACACAGCUGAGAUGUCUUUGUGUCCUCACAACCCUCAGCAGGAUGACUUUUGAAAGCAGAUGCUUCAUUAAAUGUUUCAUAAGUGAACAAAGGCUUGGACAGUGACCUGAGAGCUCUGGUUUCAUCGUUGGUGAAAUGGGGAUAAAGCCGAUCAAACAUGGAUGGAGUUAGGAAGACAGAAGAGCUGGAGUCAGGCCAGGGAUGCAGCAAACCCUCAAGGUUAGCUCUUAUUUAUUUGUCUUGAUUAUUGUCACCUGAAGGGGCCAUCCCCCGCCCCAUUAACCCCCUCUUGAGCAGCCUCUGGGGAAUAACAAAGAGAAUUCACAGCAGCCCAGAGUAAAUGAAUGCCAUCUUUCACAAAGCCUUCCUUCCUGUCUGGCCUUCUGGAGGACCUGGGCUGCGCCCACCCACCAUGGGGAAGGGGAGGAUGAAAUCUCCCCACUCUGCCUCCCGCAACACACGUGAGGUACAGGUCCCGGUCAGUUAGUGCACUUGGGCAUAAUCCCCCUUCUGUCUUCUGCCCAUUUUCUUAUGAAAGCGACUUCGACAACUCUAAAGUGGAAUUUUUUUUUUUUUUUGAGACGGAAUUUCGCUCUUGUUGCCCAGGCUGGAGUGCAAUGGCGUGAUCUCGGCUCUC
rnacentral:lncRNA from 10 species